GAUGAACGCUAGCGGCAGGCCUAAUACAUGCAAGUCGAGGGGUAGUGGUUGCUUGCAGCCAUGAGACCGGCGCACGGGUGCGUAACGCGUAUGCGACCUACCUUCAUCUGGGGGAUAGCCCGGAGAAAUCCGGAUUAAUAACGCAUAAACUCAAAGUACGGCAUCGUACAAUGAGCAAACAUUUAUGGGAUGGAGAUGGGCAUGCGUGUCAUUAGUUAAGUGGCGGGGUAACGGCCCACCAAGACCGCGAUGACUAUGGGAUCUGAGAGGAUGACCCCCGCACUGGUACUGAGACACGGACCAGACUCCUACGGGAGGCAGCAGUAAGGAAUAUUGGUCAAUGGGCGCAAGCCUGAACCAGCCAUGCCGCGUGCAGGAAGACGGCCCUCUGGGUUGUAAACUGCUUUUAUUCGGGAAUAAACCUGCUUACGUGUAAGUAGCUGAAUGUACCGAAGGAAUAAGGAUCGGCUAACUCCGUGCCAGCAGCCGCGGUAACAC
rnacentral:rRNA from 1 species